GCCAGCCCCCGCCGACAGGUGCUGGUCCCCGUUCCUCGGGCCGGCCGGCCCCACCCUCCUGGGAGCGGGCUCCCCACCCCAGUCCGCGGCUCUAAAUCCCACAGCCUCCUGCCCGCGCCCCCGGCCCUUUCCUCCAGCCCAGCCCGGCCCCAUUUUCUCCGGGCGUGGACCCAGUUCCCCUCCCCGAGGUACCGGGCGCAUCCCGCCCCCGCCCCGGAGGGAAGAUGCACGUGAACAAAGCGAAUCGGGGGAGGCCGAAACGGCAGAAAAAGGCAACAAGACAGAGGGAAAGAGCAUGGAUGUCAGGAAGCAGUCGAGAGAAGGGAAGAUUGCCCUCUGGCUGGCCAGAAGGGGUCAGGAGCAUCAUGUGGUUUCUGCCCUUCUGGAAUAUAUUGUCUAGCUGCAAAGGAAAGAAGAUGGAAUGAUGGAGGGAAAGAAGCAGGAGGAGAAGAAAGAGGAGGAGGAGGAGGAGAAGGGCUUUCCAUCCCAAGUAAUUUAUGGGAUUCCCUGAGGAAAGUCUAUGUUUCACAGAUGUCCGGGCUCACUCAUCAGGUAAGUUUGGCUCUCAAUGAAAUCACGAUAUUAAUGAGUCUAUUUCCAAACUCUAAAAAUAGAGGACUUUGGCCGAAUGCCCAAGUAUGGCAUUGGUACUUCCUAACUGGUCCCUUUUGGAACACGCUGGGGUGGAAUGAUGUUUCCCCCUUCUCUGUGGUUGCUGUUUCAUGCCCCUAAUCUCCUAUGGAUAGCUCUUGGACAGAAGGAAUAGAACCGAGUUCAGAAACAGUACUGUCUAGGGGUGCCUAGGUGGCUCAGUUGGUGAAGUGUCUGAUUUUUUAGCCUAGGUCUUGAUCUCAGGGU